rnacentral:rRNA from 1 species
GACGAACGCUGGCGGCGUGCUUAACACAUGCAAGUCGAGCGGUAAGGCCCUUUCGGGGGUACACGAGCGGCGAACGGGUGAGUAACACGUGGGUGACCUGCCCUCAGCUCUGGGAUAAGCCUGGGAAACCGGGUCUAAUACUGGAUAUGACUCCAUGACGCAUGUUGUGGGGUGGAAAGCCUUGUGCGGCUGAGGAUGGGCCCGCGGCUUAUCAGCUUGUUGGUGGGGUGAGGCCUACCAAGGCGACGACGGGUAGCCGGCCUGAGAGGGCGACCGGCCACACUGGGACUGAGACACGGCCCAGACUCCUACGGGAGGCAGCAGUGGGGAAUCUUGCGCAAUGGGCGAAAGCCUGACGCAGCGACGCCGCGUGAGGGAUGACGGCCUCGG